rnacentral:lncRNA from 1 species
CUUGGUCAAGUGCCAUCCGCAUGGCUUCCUUCCCCUGUGGAACCAGGUUGUCGUCGAGUUCGCCUGCAAUGGGUUCUCUUCACACGUCUUCAGUGCUGCCGCCUGCUUUGCCAAAAGCUUGCUUGGCAUUGGGUCACCCUGUGAAUCAACACAAAGGUUAGCAUUGCACACCGCCAAUCAAGGCAACCAAUGAGAAGCACAAUCACGUCGUGGGGUAGUGGCAUGAGGAACUACGGCUUCCUAUUGGCUCCCCCAAGAUCAUCACCGACAGAGACUAUCAUGUGGCUGCCGUGGUGGAAGAGACGCUGCCAGUGGGGACAUGCCAACAUUGGCCCAGUUUUCUGCUAGUACGGUCAUGCCUUUUUAG